rnacentral:lncRNA from 1 species
AUGCAAGCCUCCACUUAGCCCACCCUGCUCCUAUACGGUGUGUGACGUCCCCGUCAAUCUCACCGUCCCCCUGAAUCACUGACCCAAGGUAACGGACGCUGUCCUUCUUGGCGAUGGCCUGAGAGCCAAUCAUCACGUCCCUGCCUACUUCGGUCGGAUCGGCGCUAAACUUGCACUCCAGGUAUUCUGUCUUAGAUCUG